UCCACACUGGAACUGGAAUGAGUUUCCCACGUAGUGUUGCUAAAUGUCAUGUCAUUAGUGUCAAUUAUUAUCUUCGAUAGAGUUGAGGUCUUUGGAAUAUCUAGAUCUUGCGGCAAUUCCAUCUUUGCCACGCUCCGUGCCUCUUAAGUGUAUACGAAUUAGAAAGAAAGCCGCCCACUGUCGCUGAACCACAUUUCACCUACAUUGCCGCAUUUUUUUUUCGCAAUGAAUCACUUUUGGUCAAUGGGAGACGCUGCGCACUCACUCUACAAAAUGUGCACAAAGGAAUUUCACUGCAGCUGAUGAUAGUCUGCAGGUGUGCAGUGAAAAGUAGGGGAAAGGAAUGAAAUUGCAACACACACACGCGCUAGACACUUCUCCUAAACUAUUACAGCACACACGCGUACUCACACAUACACAAAUUAUAUAUGUACAUGCGUGUGUAUAUAUCCAUAUACUGACACAUGUGCACAUUUAUAUAUGUGUGAUGUGCCAUUAUUGAGUUUUUCACGGUUGGCGUUAUAUAGCACAUCUCACCUUUAAAUUUGUUGAUAGAAAAAUAAAAACUGAACGUGUCACGCAAAAGAAUCCAAGCCAAUUCGCAUUUGUCGGGCUGUUAACGCUGGUCCGGGCUUUUGGGGGCUGCUGCUAGACGACGGGCUGCUGCUUUACAACGGAACAGGAACACACCGAGCACUCACACACCAACAGCAGCUGCGAAAAA